GGGGUUGUGGCUCAAUGAUAGAGAGCUUGCCUGGCACGUAUGAGUCCCUGGGUUCGAUUCUCAGCACCACA
rnacentral:tRNA from 1 species